GAGGGAGAGCGCCCCCGCGCCGCGCGUUACCUUCCUCGGGGCUCUCGUAGAAGUGGCCGCCGUUGAGCGCCGGGCCGGGCCCGAGGUCCUGCAGGAGGACCUACUCUGUGACAGGCAUUUGCUGGCAGUGGGAUACAGCAGAGAGCAAGACAGACGUGACCCCUGCCACAUGUCAACUUUGCUGGAAUGGAAAUAUCUCCUCCACAAUGAAAAAAAAAAAAUCAUCAUUUGGAUGUGAAUCAAAAUGGAAUCUGGUCUCCAGAACAGAACUCCUGGCCUCUAGCCUCAACUUCAAGUAUGAAAUUGGCAGCUACACUUUCUUGAAAUAAUAUAAAUAACAAUGCCUAGCACUUACCAAGUGAUUACUAUAUGGCAGACGUGGUUGGAUGGGCUUCACAUGUUUUAACUCAUUUAAUCCUCACAAGAACUCUUUGAGUUGCUAGUUCAGUUCAGUCGCUCAGUCGUGUCCAACUCUCUGCGA